rnacentral:rRNA from 1 species
UACAGAGGGGGCAAGCGUUAUUCGGAAUUAUUGGGCGUAAAGAGCUCGUAGGCGGUCUGUUGCGUCCGCUGUGAAAACUCGGGGCUUAACCCCGAGCCUGCAGUGGAUACGGGCAGACUAGAGGUAGGUAGGGGAGAAUGGAAUUCCCGGUGUAGCGGUGAAAUGCGCAGAUAUCGGGAGGAACACCGGUGGCGAAGGCGGCUACCUGGACCGGUUCUGACGCUGAUGCGCGAAAGCGUGGGUAGCAAACAGG